rnacentral:rRNA from 1 species
GAUGAACGCUGGCGGCGUGCCUAAUACAUGCAAGUCGAGCGAACAGACGAGGAGCUUGCUCCUCUGACGUUAGCGGCGGACGGGUGAGUAACACGUGGAUAACCUACCUAUAAGACUGGGAUAACUUCGGGAAACCGGCGCUAAUACCGGAUAAUAUAUUGAACCGCAUGGUUCAAUAGUGAAAGACGGUUUUGCUGUCACUUAUAGAUGGAUCCGCGCCGCAUUAGCUAGUUGGUAAGGUAACGGCUUACCAAGGCAACGAUGCGUAGCCGACCUGAGAGGGUGAUAGGCCACACUGGAGCGGAGACACGGUCAAGACUCCUACGGGAGGCAGCAGUAGGGAAUCGUCCGCAAUGGGCGAAAGCCUGACGGAGCAACGCCGCGUGAGUGAUGAAGGUCUUGGGAUCGUAAAACUCUGUUAUGAGGGAAGAACAAAUGUGUAAGUAACUAUGCAGGUAUUGACGGUACCUAAUCAGAAAGCCACGGCUAACUACGUG